rnacentral:rRNA from 1 species
GACGAACGCUGGCGGCGUGCUUAACACAUGCAAGUCGAACGGUGAACCUCUUCGGUGGGGAUCAGUGGCGAACGGGUGAGUAACACGUGGGCAACCUGCCCCCGUCUCUGGGAUAACUCCAAGAAUUUGGGGCUAAUACCGUAAGUUCACCGCUUCCCGCAUGGGUGGUGGUGGAAAGGUUUUGCGGCUGGGGAUGGGCGCGCGGGUAAGCAGCUGGGUGGUGGGGUAGUGACCUACCAACGGGACGACGGAUAGCCGGCCUGAGAGGGUGACCGGCCACACGGCGCCUGAGACACGGCCCAGACGGCUACGGGAGGCAACAGUGGGGAACCUUGCGCAACGGGCGGAAGCGUGACGUAGCGACGCCGCGUUCGGGAUGACGUCCUACGGGUGGUAAACCUAUGUCUGAAGGGACGAAGCGAACGUGACGGUACCUGAAGAGGAAGCACCGGCUAACUACGUG